rnacentral:rRNA from 1 species
GACGAACGCUGGCGGCGUGCUUAACACAUGCAAGUCGAACGGAAAGGCCCUGCUUUUGUGGGGUGCUCGAGUGGCGAACGGGUGAGUAACACGUGAGUAACCUGCCCUUGACUUUGGGAUAACUUCAGGAAACUGGGGCUAAUACCGGAUAGGAGCUCCUGCUGCAUGGUGGGGGUUGGAAAGUUUCGGCGGUUGGGGAUGGACUCGCGGGUUAUCAGCUUGUUGGUGGGGUAGUGGCUUACCAAGGCUUUGACGGGUAGACGGCCUGAGAGGGUGACCGGCCACAUUGGGACUGCGAUACGGCCCAGACUCCUACGGGAGGCAGCAGUGGGGAAUAUUGCACAAUGGGCGGAAGCCUGAUGCAGCAACGCCGCGUGCGGGAUGACGGCCUUCGGGUUGUAAACCGCUUUCGCCUGUGACGAAGCGUGAGUGACGGUAAUGGGUAAAGAAGCACCGGCUAACUACGUG